AUAAAGAUGAAUAAGACAUGGUACCUGCACCAGAAGAACUUAUCUAUUUCUCAUCCAUUAAGGCCACAAUUGGAAAAACUGGUUAUUUUUAUCAAGGCUUUGACUGGAAUGGUGUGCUUUCCUUUAAGGAAUCAAACUUGCCUUAUGAAGCCAAUAAAGCUCCUGGAAACUGGCCUCAUAUUCUGUGUACACAGUCCCUGUACAGGGUGUCUGAUCUGUGGUAAGUAAACGAUGUCACUUUCUGAACAGGCCAGGAACCCCAAGUUAUCUUGGAAUCUCAAGAGAGAGGAAUUCACCCAACUCAUAGGUAACUGAUGGUACAAAUCCAUGUCUGAGCUUGGCUUUAAAAAGGUCUUAUCUCAGAUUCCUUCUGCAGAACAAAGUUCCAUCAAAGCCAAUUUAAAAGGCCUAUGUAACAAAUAAUUAUUCUUGCUGUACUGCGUGCAAAUAACUAAGCCAAGUAUAAUAAAGCAAACCAGUCCUACCAUGAUUUGUCUUUUAAUAAAAAUGGGAAACUGGAGAGAGAAAAUUAUGUCUCAAAAACUAUAGCGCAUGUGUUGUUAAAUUCUAGUGUUGCCUAAUAUUUUUCAAUUUUUAUUAUUCUCUACAGUUUAAAUUAAAUUCUAUUUUUUCUGGCUACAAGUUUCCAAAAUAAGCUGUGCUUUCCUAAAGCCCUAUGAACUGAAAACUAGCGGUUUCAGCAGGCGCUGCCUCUAAGCCCCCUGACCAUCACAGGAGGAAAUCUCUUCACUGCUGGUGCUGACAACUAAUAACUGAGAGUGCCUGGAAUCCUUUGCCCGCACGUCUAGUGAGUCCAUCACACUCAGGGUAAUUGAGACAGUAGCUGUUACAGGAAUCAACUUGUGGAUACAUCACACUCAAGUCAAAGCCUGGAAAGCUGAGGAAACAACCCCUGACACCCCAAAGGAACAUUCUAAAUAUCAAUGUAAAGAAAUAGGAAAUCUUAAGCUG
rnacentral:lncRNA from 1 species